CUGUGUUUGUGGAAACCUGCACCUCCUCAAACCUGAAGGUUUCCACUUAAUGCUUCUUUUAUUAUGUUCCCAAGUAACAUCUUAUGAUAUCAUGGAAAUAUGGAAAAGUCAGAAAGCAAUGCUCUAACAGCAAGGUGACUCUGUGUGUGUGUUUGUGUGUGUGUAAAGGGCUGCUCUUGCUGCUGCUGUUUAAUCACUAAGUUGUGUCCGAUUCUUUACAACCCCAUGGACUGUAGCCUGCCAGGCUCCCCUGUCCAUGCGGUUUCCCAGGCAAGAAUACUGGAGUGGGUUGUCAUGCCCUCCUCCACGGGAUCUUCUCAACCCAGGGAGAGAGCUCAUGUCUCCUGAUUGGCAGGUGGAUUCUUUAUCACCGAACCACCAGGGAAGUCCGUGUAAAGAGCACUGAAAGGAUGAGGACAGCUGAUGGCAGAGGACAUAACGCAUCAAUCUGGUUCAGACUUGCAAAGGAGAAUGGAAACACAAACCUACACAGAAAAAUAAUAUUCACAGGGAAGGAGCAGCUAGUCUUCGUGGGAGUGAAGAAGAGCUUUCCUUCAAAACUGAUUGAUCAAGAAGAGACCAUUGGUUGAGAGAGCUGACCCAACAAUUCACAUCAGAAGAAUCUGCAUCAGGAAGAUGGCAGAUGGCAACAGCCUGGGGUUAGUAUCUGUCCGUGAACACAGCCUGGAAGCAGGAGGACUUUGUCACACCCAUGGUGCGUAUUGUGAUAUGCUUCACAGAGCACCUGGCCGUGCUCCGUGCUAAUCUUUAUUGGGCAUUUUAAAGAGUAACAUAGAAAUUGCAU
ensembl:lncRNA